GACGGGGGGGGCAAGCGUUGUUCGGAAUUACUGGGCGUAAAGGGCUUGUAGGCGGCCAACUAAGUCAGACGUGAAAUCCCUCAGCUUAACUGGGGAACUGCGUCUGAUACUGGAUGGCUUGGAUUCGGGAGAGGAAUGCGGAAUUCCAGGUGUAGCGGUGAAAUGCGUAGAUAUCUGGAGGAACACCGGUGGCGAAGGCGGCAUUCUGGACCGACAUUGACGCUGAGGAGCGAAAGCCAGGGGAGCAAACGGG
rnacentral:rRNA from 1 species